rnacentral:rRNA from 1 species
GUGAGGAAUAUUGCGCAAUGGAGGCAACUCUGACGCAGCCAUGCCGCGUGCAGGAAGAAGGCGCUACGCGUUGUAAACUGCUUUUAACCGGGAAGAAACCCCAGGACGUGUCCUGGGUUGACGGUACCGGAGGAAUAAGCACCGGCUAACUUCGUGCCAGCAGCCGCGGUAAUACGAAGGGUGCAAGCGUUAUCCGGAUUCCUUGGGUUCAAUGGGUGCGUAGGCGGAGCGUUAAGUCUGUGGUGAAAUCCUGCAGCUUAACUGUAGACUUGCCAUUGAUACUGGCGCUCUUGAGUGCGCUUGAAGUGGGCGGAAUGUGCCGUGUAGCGGUGAAAUACUUAGAUAUGGCACAGAACACCAAUUGCGAAGGCAGCUCACUAAGGCGAUACUGACGCUGAGGCACGAAAGCGUGGGGAUCGAACAGGAUUAGAUACCCUUGUAGUCC